GACGAACGCUGGCGGCGUGCCUAAUACAUGCAAGUAGAACGCAGUUUCGACCGGGUGAGUAACGAGUAUGUAACUGCCUCAUAGCGGGGGAUAACUAUUUGAAACGAUAGCAAAUACCGCAUACUGUGAGAUAGACCUGCUUUGUAUUAGCUAGUUGGUGAGGUAAACGCCCACCAAGGCGACGAUACAUAGCCGACCUGAGAGGGUGGACCGGUAAACGUGUACUGAAAAAAAGCCGAGAACCCUACUGUACGCAGCAAGAGGGAACCUUCGGCAAUGGACGGAAGUCUGACCGAGCAACGCCGAGUGGUUGAAGAAGGUUUUCGGAUCGUAAAGCUCGGUUGUUAGAGAAGCGGUAACUGACGAGAAAGGAGCGGCGAACUACGUGCCAGCCGCCGCGGUAAUUC
rnacentral:rRNA from 1 species